rnacentral:rRNA from 1 species
GAUGAACGCUGGCGGCGUGCCUAAUACAUGCAAGUCGAGCGAACAGACGAGGAGCUUGCUCCUCUGACGUUAGCGGCGGACGGGUGAGUAACACGUGGAUAACCUACCUAUAAGACUGGGAUAACCUCGGGAAACCGGAGCUAAUACCGGAUAAUAUAUUGAACCGCAUGGUUCAAUAGUGAAAGACGGUUUUGCUGUCACUUAUAGAUGGAUCCGCGCCGCAUUAGCUAGUUGGUAAGGUAACGGCUUACCAAGGCAACCAUGCGUAGCCGACCUGAGAGGGUGGUCGGCCACACUGGAACUGGGACACGGUCCAGACUCCUACGGGAGGCAGCAGUAGGGAAUCUUCCGCAAUGGGCGAAAGCCUGACGGAGCAACGCCGCGUGAGUGAUGAAGGUCUUCGGAUCGUAAAACUCUGUUAUUAGGGAAGAACAAAUGUGUAAGUAACUAUGCACGUCUUGACGGUACCUAAUCAGAAAGCCACGGCUAACUAUGUG